GCUCUCAACUGGUAAUAGAAAACAUAAAAUAACAUUCACCUAAACCAGAAAUCAGCGAUAAAAAAAUCACUGGAAAAAUCGCUUUUGAAGCAAUUCGUAGAUUUGGAAACAGUUGGAAUUCCAAUCCGCAGUACUAGAAAUUUUUGACCAGCGGUACGUGCCAAUGGAACUGAGCCUGCACACAGAAACGACCAGCGGUCAGGUUACACGAGCCCGUAGUUCGUCAGCGGUUUAUGUUGAUUUCUUCCCUUUGGACUUGGUUUUGGCCCAAAUAUCAGCUCGACAGCGACAGGAUUUCACCACGAGUAUUUCUUUGAGGUGGACUUGAUUUUUUCUUCCGGGACAUUUUAAUUGGAUGAAUCGUUUCUCCGUCAGGAUCGGUACGCAUGCGUUACACGUGCGGAAGCUGGCCAGUGGGAAUCGCGGGACGUAAAAUGACGUGCACUGUCCGUAGCAAAAUCGGUUAUAAACCAGUUUGGAUUCGCAGCCAGGCUCCGUGAUGCGCUCUUUGAAGAAUGCGCUUCGACACCAACUCUUGUUCACAGCUGACGGCAUGAUUGGGAGAGGGACCCCCUUG